AAUUCUCAAAUUGAAGUACAAAAUUCGAUCUACAAAACGACUUACGCUUGGAGCUACGGAACACUGCUCUGGAGAUUUUCUCAAAAAAUUCUUUUUGGAGCACUUUAAGAGGCCAGUAACGGUGAUGAGGCCAACAAAGGUGAUGGCUACAUCAAAUAAGAAUUAAAUUUUCAUUAUCUAUACCCAUGACGUGUUGUACUCACGAUAAUUGGUGAUUAUGAUGUAGCUUGAUGUUUCCAGUGAUGUGUUUAGAGACUGCCGCCAGCAAAGCUUAGACCGGGGAAUCCAUUUAAUACCAGCUGGUCACUUGCAAUCAACGUGGAAUAAUUAAUGACACACUGAAUUCUAUAAAACACCCACACUCCUCUGGGAAUAAUCACUGAUUCGAUUACUUGUCUGGCGAGCAUUUUAGCAGAAGUCCUAACAACUGAAGUGAUCAACAAAAAUUGUCGUCCAAGACAGGCUCGCUGCAACUUCUCCGUCGUAAACUUUGCAAGCAUCCCAAAGAGACAUUAUGACAUCCAAGUACCGCCUAAUCCUCGCCUCGGUACCUGCCGUUGUUUUCGUAAUCGCCACUCUGAGUUUGUCGAUGGUACAAGCCGAUUCGAGCAGUAAGCACUGCGGGUCAGCUUUCCCCCAGUUUGUAUGGACGGCUUGCUCAAUGGCUAAGAGAUCCAACAGAUCCCCACGCUCGCUGGAUGACUUGCUGGAAACGUUUAAAUCAGCUAGACACCUCGAUAUCAGUUACAGGACACCCAUCCGUCUGAGCAAGCGCCAGGAUUACGAUGGAAUGGCCGAUUACUGUUGUAUCAUUGGAUGCUCCACCAAUGAACUUAUCGCCUCAGGAAUUUGCUAAUUUCACGGGAAAAGUUGGAACCAGCGC